rnacentral:rRNA from 1 species
UACAGAGGGUGCGAGCGUUGUCCGGAAUCACUGGGCGUAAAGGGUGCGCAGGCGGUCCGUGCAAGUGUGGGGUGAAAUCUCCCGGCUCAACCGGGAGGGUGCCGCGCAAACUGCCGGACUUGAGGCUCGGAGAGGGGCGUGGAAUUCCGGGUGGAGCGGUGAAAUGCGUAGAGAUCCGGAGGAACACCGAUGGCGAAGGCAGAUCUCUGGGCCGUAACUGACGCUGAGGAGCGAAAGCAUGGGGAGCGAACAGG